rnacentral:rRNA from 1 species
UACCAGCACCCCGAGUGGUCGGGACGUUUAUUGGGCCUAAAGCAUCCGUAGCCGGUUCUACAAGUCUUCCGUUAAAUCCACCUGCUCAACAGAUGGGCUGCGGAAGAUACUAUGGAGUUAGGAGGCGGGAGAGGCAAGCGGUACUCGAUGGGUAGGGGUAAAAUCCGUUGAUCCAUUGAAGACCACCAGUGGCGAAGGCGGCUUGCCAGAACGCGCUCGACGGUGAGGGAUGAAAGCUGGGGGAGCAAACCGG